rnacentral:rRNA from 1 species
UAGGGAAUCUUCCACAAUGGACGCAAGUCUGAUGGAGCAACGCCGCGUGAGUGAAGAAGGUUUUCGGACCGUAAAGCUCUGUUGUUGGUGAAGAAGGAUAGAGGUAGUAACUGGCCUUUAUUUGACGGUAAUCAACCAGAAAGUCACGGCUAACUACGUGCCAGCAGCCGCGGUAAUACGUAGGUGGCAAGCGUUGUCCGGAUUUAUUGGGCGUAAAGCGAGCGCAGGCGGAAGAAUAAGUCUGAUGUGAAAGCCCUCGGCUUAACCGAGGAAUUGCAUCGGAAACUG